rnacentral:misc_RNA from 1 species
GAUGAAGAACGCAGCGAAAUGUGAUAAGUAAUGUGAAUUGCAGAAUUCAGUGAAUCAUCGAAUCUUUGAACGCACAUUGCGCCCCCUGGUAUUCCGGGGGGCAUGCCUGUCCGAGCGUCAUUACAACCCUCAAGCUCAGCUUGGUAUUGGGCCCCGCCGACCCGGCGGGCCCUAAAGUCAGUGGCGGUGCCGUCCGGCUCCGAGCGUAGUAAUUCUUCUCGCUCUGGAGGUCCGGUCGUGUGCUCGCCAGCAACCCCCAAUUUUUUUCAGGUUGACCUCGGAUCAGGUAGGGAUACCCGCUGAACUUAAGCAUAUCAAUAAGCGGAGGA